rnacentral:lncRNA from 10 species
UGUCAUUCAAGGUGGCUUUGGCUGCUUGCUUGUCAUUCUGAGUGUGGGGACACACAUGCUACCCUGGUUGUCAGCAGGUGAGAAGGGGGCUCUGAUCAGCUUCUCACUGGAUUUAGAGAAGAGCAGAUGCCCCUGAUCAGCUUCUCACUGGAUUUAGAGAAGAGCAGAUGUCCCAGACUUGUAGCUGCCAUUGCCUCUCUCUUUCGGAAAAUGAGAGUUGCUAAGAGGUGAGAUCAGGCUCCAGAAGCAGAUGAGCAGAGGAGACGAGAUAAGCAGAGGGAUGGCAGAACUGUGUGGCAGAGAAAGAGAGAAGAAGAGGAACAUCUGAACACCGAGAGGACUUCGUCUGGGGGCAGUUGGAGAGAUGGGCUGCUUGACAGCCAAACUCCAGGGGAAGAUCAUCUUCCUGCUCCAUUCUCCCUUCUGGCUCCC